rnacentral:rRNA from 1 species
UAGGGAAUCUUCGGCAAUGGGGGCAACCCUGACCGAGCAACGCCGCGUGAGUGAAGAAGGUUUUCGGAUCGUAAAGCUCUGUUGUAAGUCAAGAACGGGUGUGAGAGUGGAAAGUUCACACUGUGACGGUAGCUUACCAGAAAGGGACGGCUAACUACGUGCCAGCAGCCGCGGUAAUACGUAGGUCCCGAGCGUUGUCCGGAUUUAUUGGGCGUAAAGCGAGCGCAGGCGGUUUGAUAAGUCUGAAGUUAAAGGCUGUGGCUCAACCAUAGUUCGCUUUGGAAACUGUCGAACUUGAGUGCAGAAGGGGGGGGUGGAAUUCCAUGUGUAGCGGUGAAAUGCGUAGAUAUAUGGAGGAACACCGGUGGCGAAAGCGGCUCUCUGGUCUGUAACUGACGCUGAGGCUCGAAAGCGUGGGGAGCGAACAGG